rnacentral:lncRNA from 1 species
UGAGGAAGAAGGCGAGUUACAUCACCCCGGUGCCCGGCGGUGUGGGGCCCAUGACCGUGGCCAUGCUGAUGAAAAACACCAUCAUCGCCGCCAAGAAACUGCUGAAACCCAAAGAGCUCGAGGCUCUGCCUGCCUAGGCAGGACUGGCACCUGGGCCUGGCUGGGCUCGCCUCAGGAGCUGGGCCCACCAAGAACUGGGCCUAGCCAGGGCCCACCGAGAGCUGGGCCUAGCUGGGCCUCCCUUGGAUUUGGGGCCUCUCCUUGAAUUCAGGCCUAGCUGGGCCCACCGAGAGCUGGGCCUAGCCAGGCCUCCCUUGGAUCUGGGCCCACCACCGAGAACUGGGCCUAGCUGGGCUCCCCUUGGAUCUGGACCUAGCCAGGCCUCCCUUGGAUUUGGGCCCCUCAGGAUCUGGGCCUAGCUGGACUCCCCUUGGAUUUGGCCCCCCGAGAGCCAGGCCUGGCUGGGCCCCCCUUGGAUUUGGGGCCCCCCCUUGGAUCCAGGACUGUCUGGGCCCCCCAAAAGCCGGGCCUAGCAAGGCCUCCCUUGGAUUUGGGCCCCCGAGAGCCAGGCCUAGCUGGGCCCCCCUUGGAUCUGGGCCUAGCCAGGCCUCCCUUGGAUUUGGGUCCCUCAGGAUCUGGGCCUGGCUGGGCCCCCCAGGAUCCAGGCUUAGCCAGGCCCCCCUUGGAUUUGGGGCCUCCCCUUGGAUCCAGGCCUGGCUGGGCCCCCCAAAAGCCGGGCCUAGCUGGGCUCCCCUUGGAUCUGGGCCCCCCCUCAGGAUCCAGGCCUGGCCAGGGCCUCUCUGCCCACGACAUUCCAGACUGACUCCCGAACAGGCCGAUAGAAAAUGCAAUAUUUCUUAUUUAUUGUCUCGUAUGUGGGGCUGCUCCCUCUCGGAGCUCACAGGUAUUUAUUGGAAUUUGGUGAGAGCUGGGAUUAUCCACACUCCUGCUUUGUUAGAGCUGGGAUUAUCCACAUUUCUGCUUUGUGUCUUUGAGCUGGGAUUAUCCCCAUUUCUCCUGAGCCAGCCCUGCUCCUGCAGGAUCCUCUUGGCAUCCCAGCAAUUCCAGCCUCCAUGGUUUUAUUCUCCAAACCCCAACAUUCCCAAUUUCCUGCUGGAUUUUUAAUUUAAGCUCUCCUGUAGAAGGAAUUACUUGAAAAAAAAACCCUGAAAAUUGAAGCCAUAUUUGUGUAACAUUUUUUAGAGUGCAGCUAGGCUGGGCUUUAUUUCACUCUUUGGAUGGUGAAUUUUUAAAAAUCCUUUUAUUUUCUAACCAAAGAACCACCUUGGGGGUCAGGGGGAGGUUUCCUGCACCGUGUUGUAAAGUGUGAGUGCUCGGUGAGUAGUGCAGGUUAAAUAAAGUGUGAGAAGAGAAAAAUAAAAAAUCCUUU